rnacentral:rRNA from 1 species
CUUUCUUUGCUGGCGACCGGCGCACGGGUGAGUAACACGUAUCCAACCUGCCCUUUACUCGGGGAUAGCCUUUCGAAAGAAAGAUUAAUACCCGAUAGUAUAAUGAUUCCGCAUGGUUUCAUUAUUAAAGGAUUCCGGUAAAGGAUGGGGAUGCGUUCCAUUAGGUUGUUGGUGAGAUAACGGCUCACCAAGCCUUCGAUGGAUAGGGGUUCUGAGAGGAAGGUCCCCCACAUUGGAACUGAGACACGGUCCAA